CUCCGCCAAGCUACUGCGGGAGGCGGCGGCCCAUCGGCGACCGCGAGACCUGCCGGAACCGAGUGACCCUUCCUCUUCUUCUCCGACUUCUGGGGCCAGCGGCAGGGCUUCCACUGCUCCGUCACCGCCUCGGGAUUUCCAGAAACAACCACACCCGCAGUCGACACAACUGACACUUCAUCUGACACUCCGGUUACAAGUGGCCAAGACUGUCAGUGCGGCGUGCCCAAA